rnacentral:rRNA from 1 species
CACGUAGGCGGACAUUUAAGUCAGGGGUGAAAGCCUGGAGCUCAACUCCAGAACUGCCCUUGAUACUGGGUGUCUCGAGUCCGGAAGAGGUAAGUGGAACUGCGAGUGUAGAGGUGAAAUUCGUAGAUAUUCGCAAGAACACCAGUGGCGAAGGCGGCUUACUGGUCCGGUACUGACGCUGAGGUGCGAAAGCGUGGGGAGCAAACA